rnacentral:tRNA from 1 species
GGCCGGUUAGCUCAGUGGUUUGAGCGCGGUUCUGUCAACGAUGACAACACCAAGGUCGCGGGUUCAAUUCCCGCUCAGUCCC